rnacentral:rRNA from 1 species
AGCGGCGGACGGGUGAGUAACACGUGGAUAACCUACCUAUAAGACUGGGAUAACUUCGGGAAACCGGAGCUAAUACCGGAUAACAUAUUGAACCGCAUGGUUCAAUAGUGAAAGGCGGCUUUGCUGUCACUUAUAGAUGGAUCCGCGCCGUAUUAGCUAGUUGGUAAGGUAACGGCUUACCAAGGCAACGAUACGUAGCCGACCUGAGAGGGUGAUCGGCCACACUGGAACUGAGACACGGUCCAGACUCCUACGGGAGGCAGCAGUAGGGAAUCUUCCGCAAUGGGCGAAAGCCUGACGGAGCAACGCCGCGUGAGUGAUGAAGGUCUUCGGAUCGUAAAACUCUGUUAUCAGGGAAGAACAAAUGUGUAAGUAACUGUGCACAUCUUGACGGUACCUGAUCAGAAAGCCACGGCUAACUACGUGCCAGCAGCCGCGGUAAUACGUAGGUGGCAAGCGUUAUCCGGAAUUAUUGGGCGUAAAGCGCGCGUAGGCGGUUUUUUAAGUCUGAUGUGAAAGCCCACGGCUCAACCGUG